rnacentral:misc_RNA from 1 species
AUUACUUUGUUCUCUGCAAAUCAUAUAUGCUACCUAUAUGUACCUUCUAAUCAUGAGACAUUAAACUGGGUUUUCUGCAGGCACUGCAGUACUAUACAACUCCAAGAAGAAAAAUCAAGAAAAUUAAGACAGUUAUGUUGCUACUACGUACAUCCCAGAUCGAGCUUUUAUUUUUGCCUACCUCUAUUUUGGUUCUUUAUUUUGGAUAUUUUCUCUAUCUUUAUUCUGCUGAGGAGAGGUUUAGAAAGAUCAUGUAUGGUUGAUCAGAGAGAGACCUGCAUGGAUCAUUUAGCAUUUUGUGAGCCUUCUUAAUUAUAUAAUUAAGUAAUAUCGAAAUGUAGUCCUGCGGUAUCAAUCUCUCUUGUAUGGAUGAUGAUCAGUUUGUGUUUGAGACAGUAUCUAAUGAUAUAUCUUUUGGUUAUUCAGUUCAA